rnacentral:rRNA from 1 species
CCUACGGGGUGCAGCAGUGAGGAAUAUUGGUCAAUGGUCGGGAGACUGAACCAGCCAAGCCGCGUGAGGGAUGAAGGUCCAGAGUAUCGUAAACCUCUUUUGUCAGGGAACAAAGUCGGGGACGCGUCCCCGGAUGAGUGUACCUGAUGAAAAAGCAUCGGCUAACUCCGUGCCAGCAGCCGCGGUAAUACGGAGGAUGCGAGCGUUAUCCGGAUUUAUUGGGUUUAAAGGGUGCGGAGGGGGUCUGUUAAGUCAGCCGUGAAAAGCCGGGGCUCAACCCCGGCCCGGCGGUUGAAACUGGCAGUCUCGAGUGGGAGGGAGGUAUGCGGAAUGCGCGGUGUAGCGGUGAAAUGCAUAGAUAUCGCGAAGAACUCCGAUUGCGAAGGCAGCAUGCGGGAUCCACACUGACGCUGAGGCACGAAGGCGUGGGUAUCGAACAGGAUUAGAUACCCCUGUAGUC